AGAGCUUAUGAGCAUGUAUGCCUGAAUGAGGGAGGUUGCCUUUUAUGAGUUUUGCUUUUAGAGGUGCUGACAUGAUAUACUAAGUAGAGAGAGGCUACAAUAGCAAAUAUUUUUUUUCUCUUCUGUUUUCCCCUGCUGCACACAGAUCUCCUGCUGGUUAGAGUUUGCAUCAGAGAUGUGCAUGUUCAGAUUUCUGCUCUGAACUGGGUGGGAAAAAAGGUUUAGAUCCUGAUCUAAAUACUUCAGUGAGCUCUGGUCACAGGUCAUCUUGGACACGAGAUGUUUCUCUAUGACAUUCUUGCUCAAUGUUUUCCAUCAGAAACUCUUUUGUUAGAAGCUAACAACUGAAAACCAAGGUAAAAAUGGGUGGAAAUUAUGAAAUGAAGCAGCAACUGGGUUUGGGAAAUUGUAAAUAUGUCCCGGGAUCAUGUCGUAUCUCUACGCAGAAGAGUGGAAGGUCAUUUUCUGUUCAGAUUCUCUUCUAAAACUUGCCAUCUCUUUUUCAGCCCCACUUAAGGCUGGCAUAAGAAGACCUUGGUGCUCCCUACCCUGGGAUGACUGUUCCAUUACAAUCCUUUCUAGCAGUGAUUGACAGCCCACGGUUUGAAGAGAAGCUUAGAGAGAAAUCUGUACCUUUCUGUGUCAUACAUCAUGAGCUGAGUAAUCUCUUGAGAAAGAGUUUGAAUGCCGUAGGGGCCUGCAAAGAAUUUGGAUAUGGAUCCUCCAUGAAAGAUUCUUGUACACUG